AAUCUCCUUUAAUUUUUUUAUUCUUGUUUGCCUAUUAGUGAUGUAAAAUGGUAUAGCUUCACAAAAAUAGUGCCGCUGUCUGACCGUAAUUGUGGGCCAUAAGCCAUCUGAGUUUGAAGUUUGAGAGAGUGGGUUUUAUUCUACCACACCAAAAUAACUGCAAUGUCGAUGGAAAUUGAUGAAGCACCCAGAAAUGUUUUGGCUGCAUCUGGAACCACUGGUAGUGUUUCUGUGUCCUUGCAUCCCCUAGUUAUAAUGAAUGUAUCUGAACACUGGACUCGUGUGAGAGCCCAAGAAGGAACAGCCCAACAAGUGGUUGGAGCUUUAAUUGGAAAACAGAAAGGACGGAAUAUAGAAAUUAUGAACUCUUUUGAAUUGAUGUUUGAUAGAAUUGAAGGACACAUUGUAAUUGACAAAGAUUAUUAUACUUCCAAGGAACAGCAAUGUAAUAACUUUCUCUAUUUCUU